GAACAUAACUCCAUGGGGCGGGCUGCUUCUGCAAGUUUGGCAACAUCUUAGCUGCUUCUGUUUAUAAGGAAAGAUCCCAGCAGCUAGAAGGAGGAGAAAGCACGACUGAGAUUGCUCAUUAUAUUCCUCUUGAGCAGCUCCAGAACAUUUCCUGGGUGACUACCACGUUAUUGAGUGCCGAGCUGUCUUUUUGUGUGCCCAGUGCAGAUCUUUCCCUCCUGUGGGAGGGAGCAAAGGGAUAGAAAGGACAUCUUUAUCCACCUACACCACAAACUCGUUCCCCCACCUCAGAGGGAUUGGAAGCUUGUCUUCUUGAGAGCUCAAUCACUGGGAUAUCAUGAAUGUUUCCAGGAGAAUACAUUCUCUCCGUGCUCACAGGCAGAAAGCUCCAACAAACACUGGAGAGAAUUGGCAGAAUUCCUGUGGCUCCAAACAGUGGUGUAGAGAUGAACUAGCUACACUCCAUACACUCUUCUACACAGUGAUCAUCAUGGUUAUCCUAAUGGCAAUUUGGGGAGCCUGGGCAAGGAAAGACUCCUACUCAUAGCUGCAAAAUGCUGUCUCUGAUAAAAACUUAGAGACACUCAUGAGGAUUAAAAAUACAAAGGAAAUGACAAAAAUCAUGCUUUUUACAAAUUACAGCUCACCUUUAAUUUCAAGGUAGAACUGCUUCUGCCUGUGGAUUUGAACCAGUGAACCCACUUUGUGGACAAAGUACAGAACACGGCUUCAGUGAGAAAGUGGAAUAUUAGUAAUGUAACACUGUUCAGUGUAAUACAUGUAAAUGAAACUGUAUAUUAAAUAUAAUCUGAUGGGGGGGAAUGUGAUUAAUACUUUUGCUGGUCAAGAUAUUUUUACAUCUGUUCCACUUCCCAUUUUUGAUUUGAGUUGCUCGUUUGCUUGUUGUUUUAUAUUAUAGCAGGGAGUUGUGAUAAUGCUGGAGGGGGCCUACCUGAUUAUGAGCAAGCAAAGACCUCUGAUCUAGCUGAGCUCCCAACUCAGUUGCUAGAGAGAAGUGUUGUAGUUUGAGCUAUGCAGUUCUGUUUGAUUUUAUGUUUGUGUAAACAUCUCUUUUUGUUAAAAUCUGCACAGGCUCAGGAAUAAACUGUGGGGAAAACUAUA
rnacentral:lncRNA from 1 species